rnacentral:rRNA from 1 species
AACGAACGCUGGCGGCAUGCCUAACACAUGCAAGUCGAACGAUCCCUUCGGGGAUAGUGGCGCACGGGUGCGUAACGCGUGGGAACCUGCCCUUAGGUUCGGAAUAACUCAGAGAAAUUUGAGCUAAUACCGGAUAAUGUCUUCGGACCAAAGAUUUAUCGCCUUUGGAUGGGCCCGCGUUGGAUUAGCUAGUUGGUGGGGUAAAGGCCUACCAAGGCGACGAUCCAUAGCUGGUCUGAGAGGAUGAUCAGCCACACUGGGACUGAGACACGGCCCAGACUCCUACGGGAGGCAGCAGUGGGGAAUAUUGGACAAUGGGCGAAAGCCUGAUCGAGCAAUGCCGCGUGAGUGAUGAAGGCCUUAGGGUUGUAAAGCUCUUUUACCCGGGAUGAUAAUGACAGUACCGGGAGAAUAAGCCCCGGCUAACUCCGUG